rnacentral:snRNA from 1 species
AGAUGCGAGCACAAUUGGUUGUGACAUCUCACACCCCCAUUUAUCCCUAGGGUUGAUUCAGCUCAUCUGGCAGGCUAGGUGACUGUACCUUUUCUUCUUCACUGAUUCCAUGUGUAUCCCUCCAGAAGCUGCAUGCUUGGUUAAAGAGGAUGACAUUCUCUGAAUAGAGGAGGACUUUUCUUUAGUUAAAGCUACAGAAUUAGCUCUGUGUCCCACUAGAACCUCCACACAAGCUUUCAAAGUCCAUUUAUUUAUCUUUGAGGUUUGCAUACAUGAGUACUC